CUUGCUCCCAAAGGUUAGCGGCGGACGGGUGAGUAACACGUGGGCAACCUGCCUAUGAGACUGGGAUAACUCCGGGAAACCGGGGCUAAUACCGGAUAAUUCUUUUCUACACAUGUAGAAAAGCUGAAAGAUGGUUUCGGCUAUCACUCAUAGAUGGGCCCGCGGCGCAUUAGCUAGUUGGUGAGGUAACGGCUCACCAAGGCGACGAUGCGUAGCCGACCUGAGAGGGUGAUCGGCCACACUGGGACUGAGACACGGCCCAGACUCCUACGGGAGGCAGCAGUAGGGAAUCUUCCGCAAUGGACGAAAGUCUGACGGAGCAACGCCGCGUGAGUGAUGAAGGUUUUCGGAUCGUAAAACUCUGUUGUUAGGGAAGAACAAGUACCGGAGUAACUGCCGGUACCUUGACGGUACCUAACCAGAAAGCCACGGCUAACUACGUGCCAGCAGCCGCGGUAAUACGUAGGUGGCAAGCGUUGUCCGGAAUUAUUGGGCGUAAAGCGCGCGCAGGUGGUCUCUUAAGUCUGAUGUGAAAGCCCCCGGCUCAACCGGGGAGGGUCAUUGGAAACUGGGAGACUUGAGUGCAGGAGAGAAGAGUGGAAUUCCACGUGUAGCGGUGAAAUGCGUAGAGAUGUGGAGGACACCAGUGGCGAAGCGACUCUUUGGCCUGUACUGACACUGAGCGCGAAGGGGUGGGGGA
rnacentral:rRNA from 2 species